rnacentral:rRNA from 1 species
GAUCAAGCGUCAAAAGGGCAUCCGGGGGAUGUCUUGGCGGUAAGAGGCGAUGAAAGACGUGGCACUCUGCGAUAAGCACCGGGGAGGCGAGAGCACCCUUUGAUCCGGUGAUUUCUGAAUGGGGAAACCCACCUCCGAGAUGUUGGAUAAAUCUUCCGUUCGCGGACGAUGUAUCUAACAUUUCAAUAGUGAGGUAUUUUAACCUGAAUACAUAGGGUUAAAAAGCGAACCCGGGGAAUUGAAACAUCUAAGUACCCGGAGGAAAGGACAUCAAUUGAGACUCCGUUAGUAGUGGCGAGCGAACGCGGACCAGGCCUGGUCUGAAAUAAGGAGAAGUAUCUGGGAAGGUACGCCAUAGUGGGUGAUAGCCCCGUAUCCGUAACAUGAAGACCUUUUAGAGUAGGGCGGGACACGUGAAAUCCUGUCUGAACAUGGGGGGACCAUCCUCCAAGCCUAAGUACUCCUUACCGACCGAUAGUGAACAAGUACCGUGAGGGAAUGAUGAAAAGAACCCCGAUGAGGGGAGUGAAACAGAUCCUGAAACCGGAUGCCUACAAGCUGAUGGAGCUCUUCGGAGUGACAUCGUACCUUUUGUAUAAUGGGUCAGCGACUUAGUGUUGCGUGCAAGCUUAAGCCGUUAGGUGUAGGCACAGCGAAAGCGAGUCUGAAUAGGGCGACCGAGUACGUAGCAUUAGACCCGAAGGCAAGUGAUCUAGGUAUGGGCAGGCUGAAGGUGCGGUAACACGCACUGGAGGGCCGAACCGUUGAGCGUUGAAAAGCUCUCGGAUGACCUGUGCCUAGGGGUGAAAGGCCAAUCAAACUUGCUGAUAGCUGGUUCUCCGCGAAAUCUAUUUAGGUAGAGCGUCAGACGAAUACUCCAGGGGGUAGAGCACUGAAUGGGCUAGGGGUCCUCACCGGAUUACCAAACCUUCUCAAACUCCGAAUACCUGGAAGUACUAUCUGGCAGACACACGGCGGGUGCUAACGUCCGUCGUGAAAAGGGAAACAACCCAGACCGCCAAUUAAGGCCCCUAAGUAAUAGCUAAGUGCGAAACGAUGUGGAGGUGCUGAGACAAUCAGGAGGUUGGCUUAGAAGCAGCCAUCCUUUAAAGAAAGCGUAACAGCUCACUGAUCUAGCGCCUCUGCGCGGAAAAUGUAACGGGACUAAAGUUAUUCGCCGAAAUUGCGGACUCGAAAGAGUGGUAGCGGAGCGUUCCGUAAGCCUGUGAAGGUGAACCGUGAGGUUUGCUGGAGGUAUCGGAAGUGAGAAUGCUGACAUGAGUAGCGACAAAGAGGGUGAGAGACCCUCUCGCCGAAAGACCAAGGGUUCCUGCGUAAAGCUAAUCUGCGCAGGGUUAGCCGGCCCCUAAGGUAAGGCCGAAAGGCGUAGCCGAUGGGAACCACGUUAAUAUUCGUGGGCCAAGGGAUGAGUGACGGAUUUCGAAAGUUGUAGACCCUUAUUGGAUUGGGUCUGCAGCCUGGAAGUUCCUGGAAAUAGCCUCCCAUUAAGACCGUACCCGAAACCGACACAGGUGGUCAGGUAGAGCAUACCAAGGCGCUUGAGAGAACUAUGUUGAAGGAACUCGGCAAAUUACCUCCGUAACUUCGGGAGAAGGAGGCCUCACAUUGGGCAACCAGUGCUGAGGGGCACAAAACUGGGGGUUGCGACUGUUUAUCAAAAACACAGGGCUCUGCGAAGCCGCAAGGCGACGUAUAGGGUCUGACGCCUGCCCGGUGCCGGAAGGUUAAAAGGAGAGGUGCAAGCCUUGAAUUGAAGCCCCGGUGAACGGCGGCCGUAACUAUAACGGUCCUAAGGUAGCGAAAUUCCUUGUCGGGUAAGUUCCGACCUGCACGAAUGGCGUAACGACUUCCCCACUGUCUCCA